CACUCUCCUACUCUAUCUUCCACCUCCACCCGUCUCUCCCCCCAUACUCUCCCUUAAUCAUUUUCUCUGUCUUUUCUCGCUUCUUUGUCUCUCUCGCUCUCUCUCCAUUGCUAUAAGGUUUUAAUGUGCGUUUGUUUAUCAAUGAUGUUUGCAAGGCGUGGAAGCUUUUAUUUUGAUAUUAUGGAAGUACUACGAAAAAAAGCUUUCGGCCCAUCAUACAAUACAAAAUGCACUCAAGGAGAUCUCUAGAUCUUUGUUGUAGUUGUUCUUUCAUUGCUCAUCAUGUUAUCCUACUUUUUGAAAUCGAUUUCAUGGAUAUUGUUGGCGGUCGGGAUCUGAGACUUUCGAUCACAUAACUGCAUUUCGAAGAUUGAAUCUUCUCGUGGUCCUGAUCCUUGAAAGGGGCUUAGGGUGUAAGAGCUCACGAUUCAGGUGGGAUGGUGAGAGUGAGCCCUUGGUUGUCAUCAAGUGAUAUCGAGUAACUUUUUGUGGGUAAAUCAAAUUAGUGGUUCGCGUAAAUUUUCCUUUUGUGGAGAAAAUCUGCUGACAUUAACCUAUCAUGUGACUGUAUUUGGUUUAUGAUGGUGCGCAAUCUGGCCGGUCUUAACUGUCAA